CAGAGUUGCAAAACUCCACAACCAUCGUGAACGUACCUGAAAAGUCGUGCUUCGGCGGGAGGCUCCGCAGGGAGCGGACCGCCGAGAUCCAGACUCUUGCAUGUUAUUCGGCAUCUCUGAGUAUGCUUAUAAAUAAGUUA
rnacentral:misc_RNA from 1 species